CGAUCACCUCCAACUGGAAGACGACAAUCAAUAUGGUCAGCAGUGGAGGACAAUUAAUAUUAGUCAGGGUUAAAUAUGUUUGACAAUUAGUACAUAAUACACACAAACAAAGCUGAUUAUACUUUGUGAUCUAUGAGUUACUGAGUAAUUAAGUCUACUUACAAAUCCUGCUCCAUCUUUAAAGGACCUCAGCUCUUGAGGCUUUGCAAUAACCAGUCCAGAGGCUCCUGCAUUAUUCACCUGUACAAGAUUUCCAAUAAACAACACUAUAUUGAACAGGCAGGCAAGAUGUCUGAUUAUGAGAUAUCAUAAUGAUCACCAGAAUGUCAAGUUUUCCGAAAUUGCUUUUGACAUAGUUUGCUACUGCUGCAAUACUUGCAGAAUCUUUUACGUCCAGUUGAUGAGAAACAACAUCUAAAUUCCCAGAAAGUUUUAGUUUUUCCACAGCUUCUAUUGCAUCUUUCUGUUUUCUAUCUGUUAAUAUCACUCUGAUUUCAUUUUCAGCAAGCUUUCUGCAUAUCUUAAAGCCGAUUCCUCUGCCUCCUCCUGUCACAAGAGCACACCUACGACAAGUGCAGCUAUAUUACCUUUUUCCACUCACUGCUUUAUGAGUGGUGAAUAGGCCGGAUCGGGUUACAGGUUACAGAAAAGAGGAGAGGAUGCACUCAUGGAGGAUAAUUAGUGCAGUUUAUAAGUAGUCCCUGGCUUAUAUACUUUACAAAUUAGUAUCUAUCCUAAUAAUUCUCGGAUGAGCCAGAGUCGCACCCGGAUGUCCUGGACAACAGAGGAUAAACCCACCACUGGGCUAUCCAAUCGUGCUCAUUUGAAAUAUUUAUUUAGUUUGAUUAUUAGUAUCGUUUUAUAAACAUAUACAGUAUUGUUUGAUAAUUUAGCAACAACAAUGUAUACCUGAAUUGGAAAUGCAUUA